rnacentral:piRNA from 1 species
UGAACCAUGAUAACCUUUUUGCCUAUUUGU